UGGAAUAUUAAAUAAAGCUGUUUUGUGAACAUCAUGUGGAUUUAUAAAAAUAGUUUUCUACCCCUCGUGGUAGCUCGUUUUUAAAAGAAAAUAAAAUAUUUUCAUGUGAGAAACAGUUUUAAAAAGGUUUUCUCGGCAUUUCAUGAUUUUAGUAUUUUUAAAUGAGUUUUUGGGUAGAAAAUACUUUCAACUGAUAGUUGUGAAAUAUUGUGAAUGUACCGUUGUGAUUGGUUGUGGUUGUGAUUUGUAUUGUGUGCGACACCGUGCAAAUACAGAGGAGACUCUGUCCGUGUGAACAGUGAAUUAUUUGUAUUUGUGGCGUGUCUGUCAUCCUUUGGGUCAAGGUUUCAAAAAAAAUUUUGGGCACUUUCCGCUAAUCUGUAGGCUUUAAGUGUAACACACUGAACUUUAGCAAAUUACAGUGUUCGAGUGUUUGAUUUGUGUUCUAAGUCUUU
rnacentral:lncRNA from 1 species